rnacentral:rRNA from 1 species
CCUACGGGAGGCAGCAGUGGGGAAUUUUCCGCAAUGGGCGAAAGCCUGACGGAGCAACGCCGCGUGAGGGAUGAAGGCCUCUGGGCUGUAAACCUCUUUUAUCAAGGAAGAAGAUCUGACGGUACUUGAUGAAUAAGCCACGGCUAAUUCCGUGCCAGCAGCCGCGGUAAUACGGGAGUGGCAAGCGUUAUCCGGAAUUAUUGGGCGUAAAGCGUCCGCAGGCGGUCUUGUAAGUCUGUCGUUAAAGCGUGGAGCUUAACUCCAUUUGAGCGAUGGAAACUGCAAGACUAGAGUGUGGUAGGGGCAGAGGGAAUUCCCGGUGUAGCGGUGAAAUGCGUAGAUAUCGGGAAGAACACCAGUGGCGAAGGCGCUCUGCUGGGCCAUAACUGACGCUCAUGGACGAAAGCCAGGGGAGCGAAAGGGAUUAGAUACCCCUGUAGUCCUGGCCGUAAACGAUGAACACUAGGUGUCGGGGGAAUCGACCCCCUCGGUGUCGUAGCCAACGCGUUAAGUGUUCCGCCUGGGGAGUACGCACGCAAGUGUGAAACUCAAAUGAAUUGACGG